rnacentral:rRNA from 1 species
GUAGUCAUAUGCUUGUCUCAAGGAUUAAGCCAUGCAUGUCUAAGUAUAAGCAAUUAUACCGUGAAACUGCGAAUGGCUCAUUAAAUCAGUUAUCGUUUAUUUGAUAGUACCUUACUACUUGGAUAACCGUGGUAAUUCUAGAGCUAAUACAUGCUAAAAACCCCGACUUCGGGAGGGGUGUAUUUAUUAGAUAAAAAACCAAUGCCCUUCGGGGCUCCUUGGUGAUUCAUAAUAACUUAACGGAUCGUAUGGCCUUGCGCCGGCGACGGUUCAUUCAAAUUUCUGCCCUAUCAACUUUCGAUGGUAAGGUAUUGGCUUACCAUGGUUUCAACGGGUAACGGGGAAUUAGGGUUCGAUUCCGGAGAGGGAGCCUGAGAAACGGCUACCACAUCCAAGGAAGGCAGCAGGCGCGCAAAUUACCCAAUCCCGACACGGGGAGGUAGUGACAAUAAAUACUGAUACAGGGCUCUUUUGGGUCUUGUAAUCGGAAUGAGUACAAUUUAAACCCCUUAACGAGGAACAAUUGGAGGGCAAGUCUGGUGCCAGCAGCCGCGGUAAUUCCAGCUCCAAUAGCGUAUAUUAAAGUUGUUGCAGUUAAAAAGCUCGUAGUUGAACCUUGGGCCUGGCUGGCCGGUCCGCCUCACCGCGUGUACUGGUCCGGCCGGGCCUUUCCUUCUGGAGAUCCUCAUGCCCUUCACUGGGUGUGUUGGGGAACCAGGACUUUUACUGUGAACAAAUUAGAGUGUUCAAAGCAGGCCUUUGCUCGAAUACAUUAGCAUGGAAUAAUAGAAUAGGACGUGCGGUCCUAUUUUGUUGGUUUCUAGGACCGCCGUAAUGAUUAAUAGGGAUAGUCGGGGGCAUCAGUAUUCAAUUGUCAGAGGUGAAAUUCUUGGAUUUAUUGAAGACUAACUACUGCGAAAGCAUUUGCCAAGGAUGUUUUCAUUAAUCAGUGAACGAAAGUUAGGGGAUCGAAGACGAUCAGAUACCGUCGUAGUCUUAACCGUAAACUAUGCCGACUAGGGAUCGGGCGAUGUUUCUAUCUUGACUCGCUCGGCACCUUACGAGAAAUCAAAGUUUUUGGGUUCUGGGGGGAGUAUGGUCGCAAGGCUGAAACUUAAAGGAAUUGACGGAAG